GCGCUGGUGAUGUAAGGCGCAGCAUCUUUGCUCGGAAAGCAGAAGGUGUGGGUUCGAGUCCCACCUGGUGCA
rnacentral:tRNA from 1 species